UGCCUGCUUCUCCAGACCCCAGCUGCCAGCUCUUCCACCAGUGGGCAGUGGUCCCCAGCACCACUGCCAUUGUCAGCCAGCACUUUUCUGGACACUCCCAGGCCACUUGGAAAGCUGGGCGCUUCCCUUAUGUGGGCCGAUUCGCCUACACAUGGACUUCCUUGGCUCUAGGCGGACUCAGGCUCCAUCCAGCACACGGGGGAAGAGGGAGAGGAAGAGAUAAUGGAUAUCUGUUCCAAAAACCCCUGCCACAACGGUGGUUUAUGCGAGGAGAUUUCCCAAGAAGUGCGAGGAGAUGUCUUCCCCUCGUACACCUGCACGUGCCUUAAGGGCUACGCGGGCAACCACUGUGAGACGA
rnacentral:sRNA from 1 species